UCGGGAAUCUUGCACAAUGGGCGAAAGCCUGAUGCAGCAACGCCGUGUGAGCGAGGAAGGUCUUCGGAUCGUAAAGCUCUGUUGUUGGGGACGAAGGGCGAAGGGUUAAUAGCCCCUAGCCUGACGGUACCCUUCGAGGAAGCCCCGGCUAACUACGUGCCAGCAGCCGCGGUAAUACGUAG
rnacentral:rRNA from 1 species